ACAUUGCCUGGCUGCAGGGCUGCUGGUAUCAUCUGGAGAUACCAAUCUCUUCCUGCACUUGGUCUCGUCUAGCGGACUGGAAGCAGACCUGCCCAUGCUGCUGCCGCUGUUGCCUGUGUCUCUUUGCUGGGCAAGGUCAAGGGCAGACUUCAUUGUACAGGGGAAGGCAGGCAUGCUAUGGAACCCAUGUGCUAUGAACCACAAUUACUAUAAGGUACGCACCUCCAAGGCACGAACCAUUCAGAAUGUUUCAGUCCCACAACUUAACUCUGGCUCAUUCAGCUGCUUAAGCAGAUGAUGUACAUGCUUUCCCAGCUGAUAAGCUAUAAAAGACAGAAUAUGCAUCAACGCUCAUCUUUUUGGAAGAAAGAAAACAGUGAGGAAGUUUUCCUUGAAGAUUCACCCUAACCUCCCCUGCGGUUCAGUCAGUACAAAUAAACAGCACCAUGGAGAACCAACACUAGGGAAAACCAGUCAUGUAAGGACAACAUUGUGACGAGGGAUGUUGCAGGAAUUAAAGGUGAUUAUGCAAGGUCAGCAUGGAUAUGUGCUGUACUAGAGGGACAAAUGGAUCAAGGAUUUAUGCAAUAUGAGAGGGGCUGUCAUCAUUAUCUAACUGAUGGCCCCCGUGUUCCCAUCAGGGUUGCUGCUGCAAAGAAUCUAAUCCAGUCUAUCAGAACAGGAUUCACCUCUGAU